ACAAACAGCAUUAGAGGCGUUGCAUGGACGUAGGGAAAUUAAGACCUGUUUUAAAUUUAUUUAAAACCUAGAACACAAUACUUCAGCGAAUUUAAGACUUCUUAAGGCCUAAAAUUUUGAUUUGGAAAUUUUAGACUUUUUAUUUAAGAUCCUGU